CUGCACCUUUGAAGAUGGCCCGGGACCCUGUGAUUAUCACCAGGACCCCUAUGAUGAUUUUGACUGGGUGCAUGUUAGCGCUCAAGAGCCUCAUUACCUCCCCCCUGAGAUGCCUCUAGGUAACUUCAUGGUAGGAGAUU